CAGCCGCCGCGGUAAUACGAAGGGGGCUAGCGUUGUUCGGAAUUACUGGGCGUAAAGCGCACGUAGGCGGAUUUUUAAGUCAGGGGCGAAAUCCCGAGGCUCAACCUCGGAACUGCCCUUGAUACUGGAGAUCUUGAGUUCGGAAGAGGUUGGUGGAACAGCUAGUGUAGAGGUGAAAUUCGUAGAUAUUAGCUAGAACACCAGUGGCGAAGGCGGCCAACUGGUCCGAUACUGACGCUGAGGUGCGAAAGCGUGGGGAGCAAACAGGAUUAGAUACCCCGGUAGUCCCUGUCUCUUAUAC
rnacentral:rRNA from 1 species